rnacentral:rRNA from 1 species
CCUACGGGGGGCAGCAGUGGGGAAUAUUGGGCAAUGGGCGCAAGCCUGACCCAGCAACGCCGCGUGAAGGAAGAAGGCUUUCGGGUUGUAAACUUCUUUUAAGGGGGAAGAGAAGAAGACGGUACCCCUUGAAUAAGCCACGGCUAACUACGGGCCAGCAGCCGCGGUAAUACGUAGGUGGCAAGCGUUUUCCGGAUUUACUGGGUGUAAAGGGCGUGCAGCCGGGGAGACAAGUCAGAUGUGAAAUCCACGGGCUCAACCCGUGAACUGCAUUUGAAACUGUUUCGCUUGAGUGUCGGAGAGGUAAUCGGAAUUCCUUGUGUAGCGGUGAAAUGCGUAGAUAUAAGGAAGAACACCAGUGGCGAAGGCGGAUUACUGGACGGUAACUGACGGUGAGGCGCGAAAGCGUGGGGAGCAAACAGGAUUAGAUACCCGUGUAGUC